rnacentral:lncRNA from 1 species
GAGGCAAAAGAACAACGAUAUUAAGAACAGUUUGGCAAUAACUUGGUGGUGAAAAAUCAAAGUGUAGAGCAUCCUAUGCUACUUGAAUUCAGGUGUGUGCAAAAUACAUAUUUCUAUGAUCCACGCCCACAAAUAUAUUAGACACAAAUACUUCAAUAAAAAAAAGAAGAGUCGGAACAACAUUCAGAAUCCCAAACUUACGUAUCUGCAAUCUUAUAUCAAUUACGUAGACAUUAACUGCUAAAAUAAAUUAUUAUGCUAAUAUAUUUAAACGUUUAGCCAAUUCAACUCAACUCUUGGGAGUUAUGUUUGCAAUUAAGAAUUCAAGACUGAAUUAUGAUGGGGCACUCAGACAUCUAAAAUGUUAAGCACUAGAGAUCGAAUGAAAUAUAUACAUGUAAUGUAAGUGUAACUUAGGAAGAAUGAAUUAUGAGAUAAUCAAGCAAUAUUUCGACACCUCAAAGCUUACCUUUGAUGCUAAAACAUUUUCGGUGAUGCAGUUACAGAGAUGAUACUUAUUUGGAAGCAGAACUUGUAGCACAUGGAGCUUGUGCACUGGUUUCAAUUGAGGGAGUUCCUUCACCAGCAUCAGAAGUCUGGUGAUUAUUUGAUUCUAGAUUAGAGCUGUCUUCCGAACUGUUUGAUAC